rnacentral:misc_RNA from 1 species
UAGAUAUCUUCAUACAUACAUAUCAUUUCCCAGGUGCUAGAAGAAAUGACAGACGAAUCCUUCUGAAACAAAAUUAAACAAAGCAAUCAAGGUCUAUCGUUAUACCUUUUUGUCUGGCAUUAUUUUAGGACAAAAGUGAGCUCGAAAUGAAUAAGAAUGAACACAAGCUCGUCUAAACUGUUUAAUCUGUACAAUUAUAUGAUUUGGGUUCCAACUUCAAAUCUAGCUUUGAGAAAAACAAGGACCAAAUAAAAGAUUGCUUGCUGCCAAACAGCAGGGUGUUUGGCUCCCGAAAUCCAUUACAAAUUUACAGUAGCUUGGUCCAGGAUCCUAAGAACGGGAAAACAGCAAUUAGCAGUCUCAAUACAAAUGGAGUUCCUCUCCUUCCGAUUCUCUUGCUCAAUUUACCAUCAGUCCAUUGUUUUGGUUCAGCCAGACUCUGAUUGAGGGACUUUUCCUGAUGUCCUUCCAUCCCAUGAUUGUCUAGUUCAUCCCAACCACCAAAGUUUAGAGUGCUUCCUGACUUUUUUCUAUCUGGUGCACCAUUUGAGGACUGACAAUCUCGAACCUUGCCAUUUCGAGUAUUUACUCCUUUUCCCAUUGUUGUUCCAGGGUUGCUCGCUGCUCUAGCACAGCGUCUUUUCUUUUUCUUGUAACUGGAUCGUGGACCUUCAUCGGACCAUCCCCAGAUGGCAUCCAUCACUAAUGAAAGAGCAGACUGUGCCAAAGGAAGUGCUAAUGCCAUGAUAAUAGUAUUUGUGCCUGUUCCAAGUACUACUGACAUAAUAAUAGCUGGAAGCAUCCAACCAAAGGCUCUCAGCACCUUCAUCACCCAGGAAAAACCAAUGGAACCCUCCAUACUCAUAAAACCAUCAAUUCCAGCUUCUUCAUCUUCAAUAUCAUAUUCAUCUCCCCAAGUAGAUGGAUCACAGGACCACCAAAUCCGCUGCUUCGUGGAUCCUCCAAAACCAAACUCUUCUCCCUUAUCAUUAGCCCUAAUUUCAUCAUCCCAGCUAAAGCCCUGGUAGUCCUUCGGGCGAUUCCUGUUGCUGUGCCAGCGGCCGCCGGCACCUUCCCAACGGCCGGAGCUGGUAGGAACACAGCGUGUGGAAUUUGAAGUAGAACUGUUCAGUGGGAAUCUGUAGCGUAAAGGAGAGGAUAAGGGAUUGAAAAGAAUAGGGGGAGUGAGGAAUUGAA